rnacentral:misc_RNA from 1 species
UGAUUCAUUUUUUUAACCACUCAGAAGAUACUUAUUAAAAAAUUGAAUCAAACUUUCAACAACGGAUCUCUUGGUUCUGGCAUCGAUGAAGAACGCAGCGAAAUGCGAUAAGUAAUGUGAAUUGCAGAAUUCAGUGAAUCAUCGAAUCUUUGAACGCACAUUGCGCCCGUCAGUAUUCUGGCGGGCAUGCCUGUUCGAGCGUCAUUACGCCCCUCAAGUCCCCUGUGGACUUGGUGUUGGGGAUCGGCGAGGCUGGUUUCCAGCACAGCCGUCCCUUAAAUUAAUUGGCGGUCUCGCCGUGGCCCUCCUCUGCCGCAGUAGUAAAACUCGCUAAGUAGCAGGCGGUAGUCCCUACCGUAAAUUCCCCCAACUAUAGUUGGGUGUUUUACGGACGUGGACGCGCCGCGCUCCCGGUGCGAGUUGUGCAAACUACUGCGCAGGAGAGGCUGCGGCGAGACCGCCACUGUAUUUCAGGGCCGGCACCCGGUGAGGGGUCCCGAUCCCCAACGCCGAUCCCCCGGAGGGGUUCGAGGGUUGAAAUGACGCUCGGACAGGCAUGCCCGCCAGAAUACUGGCGGGCGCAAUGUGCGUUCAAAGAUUCGAUGAUUCACUGAAUUCUGCAAUUCACAUUACGUAUCGCAUUUCGCUGCGUUCUUCAUCGUUGCGAGAACCAAGAGAUCCGUUGUUGAAAGUUUUGAAGAUUAUAGUAUUAAAACUUCAUUGACUAAAUUUUGUAAAAAAAGAUAUAAAUCUUUGUGUUUAAGACCUUUGGCCACUUGCGCAGCCAAAGUAAAUAGUAAAAAAACUAAUCACAGUGUGUAAGGUUUGGGCUGCCGCGCUGUGGAAGCGCUGGCUGCACCGAAGAAUACU